rnacentral:rRNA from 1 species
CGGGGGCCCCGGGAAGAGUUCUCUUUUCUUCUUAACGGCCUAUCACCCUGAAAUCGGUUUGUCCGGAGCUAGGGUUCCACGGCCGGCAGAGCCCUGCACCUCGGCAGGGUCCGGUGCGCCCCCGACGAUCCUUGAAAAUCCACCGGAAGGAAUAGUUUUCACGCCAGGUCGUACUCAUAACCGCAGCAGGUCUCCAAGGUGAACAGCCUCUAGUUGAUAGAACAAUGUAGAUAAGGGAAGUCGGCAAAUUAGAUCCGUAACUUCGGGAAAAGGAUUGGCUCUAAGGGUUGGGUGCAUCGGGCCUUGGUUGGAAGCCUUCGGACUAGACUGGGACUGUUGGGGC